AGAGUUUGAUCCUGGCUCAGAACGAACGCUGGCGGCAGGCUUAACACAUGCAAGUCGAACGCACCUUCGGGUGAGUGGCAGACGGGUGAGUAACGCGUGGGAACGUGCCCUUCAGUUCGGAAUAACCCAGGGAAACUUGGGCUAAUACCGGAUACGUGCGAGAGCAGAAAGAUUUAUCGCUGAAGGAUCGGCCCGCGUCUGAUUAGCUAGUUGGUGGGGUAAUGGCCCACCAAGGCGACGAUCAGUAGCUGGUCUGAGAGGAUGAUCAGCCACAUUGGGACUGAGACACGGCCCAAACUCCUACGGGAGGCAGCAGUGGGGAAUAUUGGACAAUGGGCGCAAGCCUGAUCCAGCCAUGCCGCGUGAGUGAUGAAGGCCUUAGGGUUGUAAAGCUCUUUCGGCGGGGACGAUAAUGACGGUACCCGCAGAAGAAGCCCCGGCUAACUUCGUGCCAGCAGCCGCGGUAAUACGAAGGGGGCUAGCGUUGUUCGGAAUCACUGGGCGUAAAGGGCGCGUAGGCGGCUUGAUAAGUCGGGGGUGAAAGCCUGUGGCUCAACCACAGAAUUGCCUUCGAUACUGUCUGGCUUGAGACCGGAAGAGGUAAGUGGAACUGCGAGUGUAGAGGUGAAAUUCGUAGAUAUUCGCAAGAACACCAGUGGCGAAGGCGGCUUACUGGUCCGGUUCUGACGCUGAGGCGCGAAAGCGUGGGGAGCAAACAGGAUUAGAUACCCUAGUAGUCC
rnacentral:rRNA from 1 species